CCUACGGGAGGCAGCAGUGGGGAAUCUUGCGCAAUGGGCGAAAGCCUGACGCAGCCAUGCCGCGUGUAUGAUGAAGGUCUUAGGAUUGUAAAAUACUUUCACCGGUGAAGAUAAUGACUGUAGCCGGAGAAGAAGCCCCGGCUAACUUCGUGCCAGCAGCCGCGGUAAUACGAAGGGGGCUAGCGUUGCUCGGAAUUACUGGGCGUAAAGGGAGCGUAGGCGGACAUUUAAGUCAGAGGUGAAAUCCCGGAGCUUAACUUCGGAACUGCCUUUGAUACUGGGUGUCUUGAGUGUGAGAGAGGUAUGUGGAACUCCGAGUGUAGAGGCGAAAUUCGUAGAUAUUCGGAAGAACACCAGUGGCGAAGGCGACAUACUGACUCAUUACUGACGCUGAGGCUCGAAAGCGUGGGGAGCAAACAGGAUUAGAUACCCUGGUAGUCCACGCCGUAAACGAUGAUUGCUAGUUGUCGGGAAGCUUGCUUCUCGGUGACGCAGCUAACGCAUUAAGCAAUCCGCCUGGGGAGUACGGUCGCAAGAUUAAAACUUAAAGGAAUUGACGG
rnacentral:rRNA from 1 species